AACGAACGCUGGCGGCAGGCCUAACACAUGCAAGUCGAACGCGCGUAGCAAUACGCGAGUGGCGCACGGGUGAGUAACACGUGGGAACCAACCCAGAGGUUCGGAAUAACCGCGGGAAACUGCGGCUAAUACCGGAUAUCCCCCAAGGGGGAAAGGAUUUAUCGCCUCUGACGGGCCCGGCGUCCGAUUAGCUAGUUGGUGAGGUAAUGGCUCACCAAGGCGACGAUCGGUAGCUGGUCUGAGAGGACGACCAGCCACACUGGAACUGAGACACGGUCCA
rnacentral:rRNA from 1 species